CGCGCCUGGUGCGCUGGCUGGCGCCGGGGUUCGCGCUGGCGCUGGCCGCAUGGGCGGCCGCACGCUGGUUCGAGGCCGGCUGGCGCGGC
rnacentral:tRNA from 1 species